AAAAGGAUAAUACCAAGGAAAACUAUGGGUGGGGGCAGUGAAUGGCCAGCAUGCCUAUAAUCCCAGCACUUGAAGCCAGGAGUUCGAGACCAGCCUGGGAAACAAAGCAAGACCCUGUGUCUAAAAAAUUUUUUUUAAAAAUAAGCUGGGCAUGGUGGCACGUGCCUAUAGUCCCAGCUACUCAGCUACUCGGGAGACCAAGACAUGGAAUAAACUUGACAAGUGCUAAAGAUGCUCUUUGAUUUUUGUGUGGCAUGAGACCUCAGGCUGAAACUUCUCAUCUGAGCCAUUGAAGGGAGCCUCUCAUCUCUCCACUGAGAGGGGAGACCAGAAUGGCUCCUUCAGGCACAUUCUGUUGGGCUUCCCUCUACCUCCCCACUCUGCUGCUUCCCCGCUCUUUUUGAAUUUCUCCCUGUUGAGGAGAGGGAAGACCAGCUAGGAGAGGAUCUGGAUUGAGAAACUUGCCAUGCUUUUCUCUCAGAUGUUCUCUUUUCUCUGAAGACAGCAGGGCCUCAUCCAAAGCUCUGUUU
rnacentral:antisense_RNA from 1 species